GAAUAAUAUGGUACCACCUUCAUCGGACGAUGGUUACGUGAUGCGGUCAUUGCGUUAUCAGUCAAUUUCAGUAUUCAUAUAAAUAGACGUGCAGCAUCUCAGAUCAAGCAUAACACGAUUUUUGUGCAAAUAUAUACUUUGUAUUUUCUUCGCAAGUACUCCUAAAAAACCAACUCAAAAACCAAAAAUGGGCGCAGAAAAGGUAUCCAUGAACAUCGUCGUCGUCGGACAAGUGCAAUCCGCCAAAGCCAUCAAAACCGUCGCCAAGACCAACCUUGCCGCCAACCAAAUCAUAAACUGAUUAUGAAGUAAAUUCAAAAAUUCCAAACUCAAAAAUGCCAUAGUCCACAAUACAAUGCAUACUAUAUAGUAUAUAAUAUGUAUUGAUAUCACCAAAUAAAUUAUAAAAAAAUCCGUUGAA